rnacentral:rRNA from 1 species
ACGUACUAUCAGCUAGUUGGUGAGGUAACGGCCCACCAAGGCUAUGACGGUUAGCUGGUCUGAGAGGAUGGUCAGCCACACUGGGACUGAGACACUGCCCAGACUCCUACGGGAGGCUGCAGUCGAGAAUCAUUCGCAAUGGGCGAAAGCCUGACGGUGCGACGCCGCGUGCAGGAUGAAGGUCUUCGGAUUGUAAACUGCUGUCGUGAGGGAGCAACGGCCACCGGGUUAACAACCCGGAGGCGUGAUAGUACCUCAGGAGGAAGCCACGGCUAACUCUGUGCCAGCAGCCGCGGUAAUACAGAGGCGGCGAGCGUUGUUCGGAUUUACUGGGCGUAAAGGGUGCGUAGGCGGAUCCGUAUGUCGGAUGUGAAAUCUCACGGCUCAACUGUGGAAUGGCAUCCGAAACUGCGGGGCUGGAGUACCGGAGAGGAAAGCGGAAUUCUAGGUGUAGCGGUGAAAUGCGUAGAUAUCUAGAGGUACACCGGUGGCGAAGGCGGCUUUCUGGACGGAUACUGACGCUGAGGCACGAAAGCUGGGGGAGCAAACAGGAUUAGAUACCCUGGUAGUCCCAGCCCUAAACGGUGCGCACUUGGUGUGAGCGGCAUUGUCCCCGUUCGCGCCGGAGCUAACGCGUUAAGUGCGCCGCCUGGGGAGUACGGUCGCAAGAUUAAAACUCAAAGGAAUUGACGGGGGCCCGCACAAGCGGUGGAGCAUGUGGCUUAAUUCGAUGCAACGCGAAGAACCUUACCUGGGCUUGACAUGCGGCUGCAAGCCCCCGGAAACGGGGGCCCCCCUUCGAGGGUGCCGCACAGGUGCUGCAUGGCUGUUGUCAGCUCGUGCCGUGAGGUGUUAGGUUAAGUCCUGCAACGAGCGCAACCCCUGUGGUUAGUUGCUCUUUUGGCCGAAAGGCCGGAAGCACUCUAAUCAGACCGCCUGUGAAAAGCAGGAGGAAGGUGGGGAUGACGUCAAGUCAGUAUGGUCCUUAUGUCCAGGGCUGCACACGUGCUACAAUGAACAGUACAGAAGGACGCAAGACCGCGAGGUGGAGCUAAUCCCCAAAACUGUUCACAGUUCAGAUUGAAGUCUGCAACUCGACUUCAUGAAGCUGGAAUCGCUAGUAAUGGCGCAUCAGCUACGGCGCCGUGAAUACGUUCCCGGGCCUUGUACACACCGCCCGUCACAUCAUGGAAGUCGACUGCACCCGAAGUCACCGGUACGACCCGCAAGGGAGGAUGGUGCCGAAGGUGUGGUUGAUGACUGGGAUGAAGUCGUAACAAGGUA